rnacentral:rRNA from 1 species
CAAUAGCGUAUAUUAAAGUUGUUGCAGUUAGAACGCUCGUAGUCGGAUUUCGGGGCGGGCCGACCGGUCUGCCGAUGGGUACGCACUGGUCGGCGCGUCCUUCCUUCCGGAGACCGUGCCUACUCUUAACUGAGCGGGGGCGGGAGACGGAUCGUUUACUUUGAAAAAAUCAGAGUGUUUCAAGCAGGCAGCUCGCUCUUGCAUGGAUUAGCAUGGGAUAAUGAAAUAGGACUUCGGUGCUAUUUUGUUGGUUUCGAACACCGAAGUAAUGAUAAAUAGGGACAGUCAGGGGCACUCGUAUUCCGCCGAGAGAGGUGAAAUUCUCAGACCAGCGGAAGACGAACCACUGCGAAAGCAUUUGCCAGGGAUGUUUUCACUGA